rnacentral:rRNA from 1 species
CAGUCGCCGCGGUAAUAAAGAGGGUGCAAGCGUUAAUCGGAAUUACUGGGCGUAAAGCGCGCGUAGGUGGUUUGUUAAGUUGGAUGUGAAAGCCCCGGGCUCAACCUGGGAACUGCAUCCAAAACUGGCAAGCUAGAGUACGGUAGAGGGUGGUGGAAUUUCCUGUGUAGCGGUGAAAUGCGUAGAUAUAGGAAGGAACACCAGUGGCGAAGGCGACCACCUGGACUGAUACUGACACUGAGGUGCGAAAGCGUGGGGAGCAAACAGGAUUAGAUACCCCUGUAGUCCCUGUCUCUUAUAC